GUGUUCACCUUGGCAGCACAUAUACUAAAAUUGGAAGGAUACAGAGAGGAUUAGCAUGACCCCUGUACAAGGAUAACACACAUAUUUGUGAAGUGUUCUAUAUUUUU